UCCGAGUUGACCCCGGCAGUCUCCUACGAGUCCCCGGCAUAACCCGCUGGCAACAUAGGACAAGGGUUGCGCUCGUUGCGCCACUUAAGGCAACACCUCACGGCACGAGCUGACGACGGCCAUGCAGCACCUGUGCGGGCUCCCGAAGGAGGACCGUAUUUCUACGGCUUCGCCCCGCAUGUCAAGCCCUGGUAAGGUUCUUCGCGUCGCGUCGAAUUAAGCAACAUGCUCCGCCGCUUGUGCGGGCCCCCGUCGAUUCCUUUGAGUUUUAGUCUUGCGACCGUACUCCCCAGGCGGGGCGCUUAAUGCGUUAGCUGCGACGCAGAAACCGUGGAAGGUCCCCACAUCUAGCGCCCACCGUUUACGGCGUGGACUAC
rnacentral:misc_RNA from 1 species